AUGAUUAUAUUUUAUCACCCAUUUGAUAUGUAUCUUGGGAUUGCUGAGAGUUAAAAACAGAUCAACUUUAUCAGCACAAUGCUGGACUGUUCCUGUGGAGAAAGGCUACACAUCAAGACAGCAGCCAUGGUGAUAUGGAGAUCGUGGAAGAUUUCUUUGCGGAUUGAAUUCAAGGGUGCUGCACCUGGAGAAAAUAAGAAGACCCACGAUGACCAUUUGCAUGAUUCCUGCAUGCAGCAACAGGUAGGUGUGGUGUUUGGCCAGCAGAUUUGACAGUGCACCCAAGCACUGUGCCAUGGGAACUUUGAUUACCUGGAGUGCCUGCCCAAUGACUUACUGCUCCAAAUCCUGGCCUUCUUGGAACUGAAGGACGUUGCACUGCUGGCACAGACCACAAAGAGGUUCCACAAGGUGAGCCUGGGCUUUACAAACCCAAAGGACAGGUUUCUCAGAUGAAAAUGAAAUCUACUCCUGGGAAAAGAUUCAUAAUAAGAGAAUUUCCAUUUUUGAAAUAUAUUUUUUUACCCUUUAUUUAACUAGGCAAGUCAGUUAAGAACAAAUUCUUAUUUUCAAUGAUGUCCUAGGAACAGUGGCAGAACAACAGAUUUUUACCUUGUCAGCUCAGGAUUCGUUCUUGCAACCUUUUGGUUACAAGUUCAACGCUCUAACCACUAUGCUACCUGCCGCCCAUUGACAUUGCUUGCUUUUAAAUCCAGGACUAGUCUUAAUGUGUCCAGGAAACCAGUCCAUAUUGUGCACCCAAAUAGUUUACAAAAGCACAUUUUACUUUCAUAUGCACAUUCUUUCAUUAAGGGCCCUGAGUUUUUACUGACCAUGUGAACGGACAAGGAAAACCUCAGGGCUCUAGUUAGGCUAUAACAUGGCCAGGAAAAUAUGAUCUGGGUUUAGUUAAUGAGCUAGUGUUUGUCUGCCUGUCUGUCUGUGUGUGUUGUAUUUCAAUACGGAAUGGGAUAUCCCAGCUCUGCAACUCUCCAGAGUUCUGGGAACAGACUGUGAGGGGUCACUGUGAUAAACUCACGCCUGACAUGGAGGCCCUAGCCAAUGCCACUGGCUGGAGGAAGAUAUUCUUUGCCUUCAACACCAAAGAGAACCAGCAGUAUGUACAUGGAGGUAGCUAGACACUUAAACAAGACAGUGUUACUCAUCUCAUAAUAAAGAUUUGAGGAAAUAUAACUUUCUCUGCCAUUAGCACAAUGAGUUAUUUAUGCAUUUGAAUGGUGUGUUGUGUCUCUGUGUUUAAAAUGCACUAUUGAUUGAUUUAUGUUGUGAAUGUGUAUUUCAGAGCUUGUUUAUUCUCUCUGCAAAAAUAAAAAGUGCCAAAUGCUGUAGGCUUCCUUCGAACAAAUAACAUUAAAUUAUUUAGUCUUGAUUUUUGUUAUUGCAUUUGAGUUCUAAUCCAGUAUGUUAUAUGCACUGUUUACAAGUAAAGCCAUACUAUUACUGAAUGAAUGCAUGUUGCAAUGGAAUUGUUGAGGUGUUUAUUAUACUCUCUGGGUGUGACUGUGGGUUGUGCUCUUCAGUUGAAAUUAGAUACUUGGUAAA